rnacentral:rRNA from 1 species
GUUUCCGUAGGUGAACCUGCGGAAGGAUCAUUAUUGAGCUAAUUUCUUCCAUUUAAUCAGGUCUUUGCUGUUUGUCUCUAAGCAUUGACUUGAUCUUGCUUUGAAUGGUUUCUAGAGACGUUUGGAGCAGUCAUUUAAGCGUGACUGUGAUGAUGAGCGUUUUACUUUGCUUGCAUUUCGCUGUUUCUUGAAUGCUUAGCGAUGAGAAUUAAAGAGGUCUGCUGACUCGCCAUUUUUAUUGAUAACAAAAACGUUUUGUUUUGAUUUUUGUGUCACUUGUUGAUGCAUUAUUCAAUUAUCAAGUCUUAUCGGUGGAUCACUCGGUUCGUAGGUCGAUGAAAAACGGGGCAAAAACCGUUAUUUGGCGUGAAUUGCAGACAUAUUGAGCGCUAAAAUUUUGAACGCAAAUGGCACUAACAGGGUUAUCUGCUAGUAUGUUCAAUUGAGGGUCUUUUGACUAGAAUCUGGCAAUCGGCUGUGAUUGCUUUUUCGGAAAGUUAUUUUGCUUUUUCUAAAGUGAAGUACCUUUUUGGUAUGGCUAUUUGAUUGUCUAAUGGAUGUCUGGUUAGCUGUUUCUUUGCUAGACGUCUGCAAUCAUUUGGCUUUGCGUAGUGUUUGAAUAAUAGGUUAGCGCGUUUCUUGCUAACUGACUUUUGCACAAGCAAGUGUAAUACGUUUCUUAAAGUCAGCUUUUAUUCAAUUUGGUUUUCUGGCUUGAUUUGUCGGUUUACUGUGCUAUGCUUUGUCAAUCUUUUCGAACUAGACCUCAAUUUGAGCAAGAUUACCCGCUGAACUUAAGCAUAU